rnacentral:rRNA from 1 species
CCCUUAGAUGUUCUGGGCCGCACGCGUGCUACACUGAACGGUUCAAUGGGUAAGGUAGUGCGAAAGCAUGACCUAAUCUCGAAAUCCGUUCGUGCUGGGGAUAGAAGCUUGCAAUUAUCCUUCUUGAACGAGGAAUACCUUGUAAGCGUGAGUCAUCAUCUCACGCUGAAUACGUCCCUGCCCUUUGUACACACCGCCCGUCGCUCCUACCGAUUGAGUGUUCCGGUGAGGCUUUGGGAGAAUGGCCUCAACAUGAGUUUAUCGUGCUUUGCCGUUUGAACUUAGUCAAACCUUAUCACUUAGAGGAAGGAGAAGUCGUAACA